rnacentral:lncRNA from 1 species
CGUGUUGGUGGUGAGGAUGAUGAUGAAAUCCUUAUAAAUCAAGAUUGGACGAAUGUUAAAAUUCUUAAAUUUUUUAGAACAUUUUUAAAUUGUUACUAAUGCAUUUUUUGGGCAAUAUUAUCCUACUAUUUCAAACUGUUUAGUUUAUAUUACAGCACUAUCUGAUUUGUUUGUUGAAUUUUCGGAGGGUGAGGAAAUUUAUCAACUUGCUAUAAAUACAAUAAAAGAAAAGUUUAAAAAGUAUUUUUUCCUAUUCCCUUAUUUAUGGUGUUGCUGCAA